GAAGGUUUAGAAACUUACCAAAGCUGAUUUUGGCAGGUGAAAAGAUGAUGUUCGGUGUGUAUAGGGAUGGAAUGAAGGCUAAGUUCAGAAUGGAGGGUUCUAAUCAUGUUGGAUUGAUGCGGAAGAUUAUGGGUUUUUCUCUAGACCGGUGAGGGAUUUUUUCCAUAUUGGUAGAGUCAACGGGACCAUUGAGGAGGAAAGUAUUCUCUGGAGGGAAGGGCAGCUGCACCAGGAAAGAAAGAAAAUAUUUUUGCAU
rnacentral:lncRNA from 1 species